rnacentral:rRNA from 1 species
GACGAACGCUGGCGGCGUGCUUAACACAUGCAAGUCGAACGAAGAGCGAUGGAAGCUUGCUUCUAUCAAUCUUAGUGGCGCACGGGUGAGUAACGCGUAAUCAACCUGCCCUUCAGAGGGGGACAACAGUUGGAAACGACUGCUAAUACCGCAUACGAUCUGACCUCGGCAUCGAGGAUAGAUGAAAGGUGGCCUCUACAUGUAAGCUAUCACUGAAGGAGGGGAUUGCGUCUGAUUAGCUAUUUGGAGGGGUAACGGCCCACCAAGGCGAUGAUCAGUAGCCGGUCUGAGAGGAUGAACGGCCACAUUGGGACUGAGACACGGCCCAGACUCCUACGGGAGGCAGCAGUGGGGAAUCUUCCGCAAUGGACGAAAGUCUGACGGAGCAACGCCGCGUGAGUGAUGACGGCCUUCGGGUUGUAAAGCUCUGUUAAUCGGGACGAAAGGCCUUUUUGCGAAUAGUGAGAAGGAUUGGCGGUACCGGAAUAGAAAGCCACGGCUAACUACGUG